GGAAUAUAAGAAACCGUCUCUUAACUUUUAACUAAAAAAACUAAGAAACGGCUCUUAAAUAAGAUAUUUAAGAGUCGGUUCUUAGAUUUUUUAGUUAAGAGUUAAGAGAUGGUUCCUUAUAUUCC
rfam:Brassica napus, WGS project CCCW01000000 data, contig: 12088